UUUUUCUUUGAACAAAUGACAGACAAUCCCGAACUGCCAUUAUGAAAGUGGUGCUGACAAUCCUCCUGCUGACUUUGGUCGGGGCUUCUACUCAGCAAUUCCUGUGUCCUCGGAACUAUUGCGAAGGCCAUCCUUGCGUGAACCAGACUUCAUGCCCAGAACACGAAACUUUGGCACCCACCUUUUGCCGAUGCUGUUUUAGAUGUGUACCUACUAUCGGUGAGGGUGGCAGAUGUAUAAGAUUAUUCGGAGAACCACCUCGUGCUGUUUGCGAAAAGGGAUUGACGUGUUGUUCCGGAAUAUGCCGCGAGCAUUGCCCUCGUGCUGGAUAAUAUGCUAUUAAGUUAAUCUGGUUAUGCAAUACUUCGCUUGUUUUACUUUCAGCUGGUUUUAUAAGAAAGUGCCGAAAUUUUCUUUAAACAAACAACCCGCUUCAAAAAAAUUAACUACUUGUUUCUUGAGAAUAAUCGCCCAAUUCUCUAUGAUAAAACUUUUUUCUUUUUUUAACAAUAGCAAUGGCCAGGGUUCUCUUCCAUCGUAUAUACAAUAAACAUUUAUGAUUG